rnacentral:rRNA from 1 species
UACGAAGGGGGGCUAGCGUUGUUCGGAAUUACUGGGCGUAAAGCGUGCGCAGGCGGCUUCUCAAGUCAGGGGGUGAAAGCCCAGAGCUCAACUCUGGAAUUGCCUUUGAGACUGAGUGGCUUGAGUACGAGAGAGGUGAGUGGAAUUCCCAGUGUAGAGGUGAAAUUCGUAGAUAUUGGGAAGAAACACCAGUGGCGAAGGCGGCUCACUGGCUCGUAACUGACGCUCAGGCGCGACAGCGUGGGGAUCAAACAGG